GGGGAAAGGCGACGGCAGCGGGGAAAGGCGACGGCGGCGGGGCAAAUCAAGACGGCGCCGACGAGAUCCUCCUCCGGCGACUGGUCCCCGAUACCUGCACCUUGGCCUAUUGUUGGAUUGGAUCAGCCACCUCCAUCUUGGGAACUUGUGAGAACUCCUGUUUUUGUGCUAUAAUGAAUACACAAAGGCUAGAGCUUAUUAGGAAGAGGAGAGAGGAAGACGACGAGGAGUUCAUGUUCUUACUUUUACCAAUAUUGGUGACAAAAGAGAGAGUUAAGGCUUCACCCGUCAAGAGAGAGUUAAGGCUUCAAAAGUCUUCAAAAGUCUUGAAAACCGCGAGACCUUCCUCACUUGGGUCACUGAAGACGAGGAGUCAGCUAUCAUGUGGCUCCGGGGUGAGCUGCAAGAGUUGACUUGAGCUCGAGGUCCUCUGGCGGCGGUGGCGUGGUUUCCGACGUUCGGCGGGCGAGCGCGCCAUGACUUCUAAUGUACUGUCAAACUGCAUGACAUUGAUUUUAUGGCGGAGGUUGCUCAUCUGUUGGGUGGAGCAUUUAUUUAUAUGUGUGUGAUUGUUCGAGAAGAUUGCAUAACAUAAUUGC